rnacentral:rRNA from 1 species
AACAGCUGGAAACGGCUGCUAAUACCGCAUAAGCGCACAGAGCUGCAUGGCUCGGUGUGAAAAACUCCGGUGGUAUGGGAUGGGCCCGCGUCUGAUUAGGCAGUUGGCGGGGUAACGGCCCACCAAACCGACGAUCAGUAGCCGGCCUGAGAGGGCGACCGGCCACAUUGGGACUGAGACACGGCCCAAACUCCUACGGGAGGCAGCAGUGGGGAAUAUUGCACAAUGGGGGAAACCCUGAUGCAGCGACGCCGCGUGAGCGAAGAAGCAUUUCGGUAUGUAAAGCUCUAUCAGUAGGGAAGAUAAUGACUGUACCUGACUAAGAAGCCCCGGCUAACUA